GAGUUUGAUCAUGGCUCAGAUUGAACGCUGGCGGCAUGCCUUACACAUGCAAGUCGAACGGCAGCACGGGAGCUUGCUCCUGGGUGGCGAGUGGCGAACGGGUGAGUAAUGCAUCGGAACGUAUCCUGGAGUGGGGGGAUAACGUAGCGAAAGUUACGCUAAUACCGCAUAUUCUGUGAGCAGGAAAGCGGGGGACCUUCGGGCCUCGCGCUCUUGGAGCGGCCGAUGUCGGAUUAGCUAGUUGGUGAGGUAAAGGCUCACCAAGGCGACGAUCCGUAGCAGGUCUGAGAGGAUGAUCUGCCACACUGGAACUGAGACACGGUCCAGACUCCUACGGGAGGCAGCAGUGGGGAAUUUUGGACAAUGGGGGCAACCCUGAUCCAGCCAUGCCGCGUGAGUGAAGAAGGCCUCGGUU
rnacentral:rRNA from 1 species